rnacentral:rRNA from 1 species
GACGAACGCUGGCGGCGUGCCUAAUACAUGCAAGUCGAACGAGAGCGACCGAUGCUUGCACUGGUCAAUCUAGUGGCGAACGGGUGAGUAACACGUGGGUAACCUGCCCAUCAGAGGGGGAUAACAUCCGGAAACGGAUGCUAAAACCGCAUAGGUCUUCGAACCGCAUGGUUUGAAGAGGAAAAGAGGCGCAAGCUUCUGCUGAUGGAUGGACCCGCGGUGCAUUAGCUAGUUGGUGAGGUAACGGCUCACCAAGGCCGUGAUGCAUAGCCGACCUGAGAGGGUGAUCGGCCACAUUGGGACUGAGACACGGCCCAAACUCCUACGGGAGGCAGCAGUAGGGAAUCUUCCGCAAUGGACGCAAGUCUGACGGAGCAACGCCGCGUGAGUGAAGAAGGUUUUCGGAUCGUAAAACUCUGUUGUUAGAGAAGAACAAGUGCUAGAGUAACUGUUAGCGCCUUGACGGUAUCUAACCAGAAAGCCACGGCUAACUACGUG